rnacentral:misc_RNA from 1 species
AAGUCGUAACAAGGUUUCCGUAGGUGAACCUGCGGAAGGAUCAUUAGUGAAUCUUUCAAAGUCGGCUCCUGUUCUGUGCUGGUGGAGACACAUGUGCACGUUCAGCGAGUCGCAAAUCCACACACCUGUGCAUGUAUGACUCUGAGUGCCGCUUUGCAUGGCCUUGACUGGCCUGGCACUCGAGUAUUUUCACACACUCUUGAAUGUAACGGAAUGUCAUGUUGUGCGUAAUGUACAAAAGAAACAACUUUCAACAACGGAUCUCUUGGCUCUC